GGUCCUUUAGCUCAGCUGGAUAGAGCGCUGCCCUCCGAAGGCAGAGGCCAGAGGUUCGAAUCCUCUAAGGACCG
rnacentral:tRNA from 1 species